UACGUAGGGGGCAAGCGUUGUCCGGAUUUAUUGGGCGUAAAGCGCUCGCAGGCGGUUCGCUGUGUCCGAUGUGAAAUCCCCGGGCUUAACCUGGGAACGUGCUUGGAACUGGCAGGCUGGAGUGUGGCAGAGGGGGGUGGAAUUCCGCGUGGUAGCAGUGAAAUGCGUAGAGAAUGUCGGAGGAACACCGAUGGCGAAGGCAGCCCCCUGGGCGUACACUGACGCCUCAGUACGAAAGCGUGGGGAGCAAACAG
rnacentral:rRNA from 1 species